CGCCGGCGCUGUAAGACAACAUUAAAGGUGACGGACUUUCAACGGUAACGAGGAAGACGAUAUAUGAUUUGACUACAGUUGACUGUAGUUAGUCGACGACAUAUGGUCUGUGCAAACAUACGUGAAUAGAGAGCGCUCAGUUAAUUUUUAUUUCGGCAGUUUUUUCUUUCAUUAUUGUAUUCAACUUUAAACAAUAUUAUAUAAUAAUUGUUCCUUAUUCAAGUUCAUUAUUAAUUGUACAUCAUUAAUCUUUCAAUAUGAAGAUUUUUCAACAAUUUUAAAAAGGGAUCACGAGUCGCUGAAAGUGAAUAGUCGUCUCGGACGAAGUCGAAUCGCAACGGACACCUGGAUAAAGAGAAGGAACGUCUUCGGGGUUGCUCGCCUGACGCGGCUAGGAACCCCAAGACAAUAUAACACACAAAAGUCUCGCUUGGCUAGUCACUUACGCUUCCUCUUCCUUGAGUUUUACCCGGGAAUCUCGCCACCUAUUUUCCCUCCUUUCAACCCCUACUCGUGAUUUCCGCGUCCCUCCGCCCCUGACGUUCUUCCGUUCUUCUUCGUCACGGCAGCUGGGCUACACACCACGGAAAAGUAUUACGUGCAUCCUGUUCGUGAUGAAAGGGUCUCAGUUUCCUUCCUCGGGGGUUGUUGUCCCUUCGCGAUUGUUCGCUGAAAUCUUGCCGAGAUCAACGAUCGCAUCCUACACCCUUCUGCGAACUCUUCCCCUAGGUCGAUUCGACUGACUGUCGAGCGUUAGAUUCCUUAUUUUUUGCGAUUUAGAGCUGUUGCUUUGUUAGUCAUAGAUAGAAGAUAUGAUGCAUAUAAUCGAGUGGACUGCAUACGGAGUUUUUAGAUACUAGAUACAAAUUUCAAAGGCAAAACGAAGUGUCAUUGAUGCGGUGACUUGGUAUCGACAACUACUUGCUGAACGAAACAGGCCUAGACAAACAACUUUCGAUGACUUUGUCACAAAA